AUUGAACGCUAGCGGGAUGCCUUACACAUGCAAGUCGAACGCGUGGCGGACGGGUGAGUAAUAUAUCGGAACGUGCCCAGUAGCGGGGGAUAACUACGCGAAAGAGUGGCUAAUACCGCUAACUAUUGGAGCGGCCGAGUUUGGUUUCGCUAGUUGGUGGGGUAAAGGCUCACCAAGGAAACGAUCCGUAGCGGGUAUGAGAGGACGACCAGCCACACUGGGACUGAGACACGGCCCAGACUCCUACGGGAGGCAGCAGUGGGGAAUUUUGGACAAUGGGGGAAACCCUGAUCCAGCAAUCCCGCGUGUAUGAGAAGGCCUUCGGGUUGUAAAGUACUUUUGGCAGAGAAGCGGUAUCUGCAGAAUAAGCACCGGCUAACUACGUGCCAGCAGCCGCGGUAAUUC
rnacentral:rRNA from 1 species